rnacentral:rRNA from 1 species
AGCGAACGCUGGCGGCAGGCUUAACACAUGCAAGUCGAACGGGUACCUUCGGGUGCUAGUGGCAGACGGGUGAGUAACACGUGGGAACGUACCUUUCGGUUCGGAAUAAUACAGGGAAACUUGUACUAAUACCGGAUACGCCCUUCGGGGAAGGAUUAUCGCCGAUAGAUCGGCCCGCGUCUGAUUAGCUAGUUGGUGAGGUAAUGGCUCACCAAGGCGACGACCAGUAGCUGGUCUGAGAGGAUGAUCAGCCACAUUGGGACUGAGACACGGCCCAAACUCCUACGGGAGGCAGCAGUGGGGAAUAUUGGACAAUGGGCGCAAGCCUGAUCCAGCCAUGCCGCGUGUGUGAUGAAGGCCUUAGGGUUGUAAAGCACUUUGUCCGGGAAGAUAAUGACUGUACCGGAAGAAUAAGCCCCGGCUAACUUCGUG